GAUCAUGGCUCGGGACGAACGCUGGCGGCGUGCUUAACACAUGCAAGUCGAACGAAAAGACGGAAAGAGCUUGCUCUUUUCAGAAUUGAGUGGCAAACGGGUGAGUAACACGUAAACAACCUGCCUUCAGGAUGGGGACAACAGACGGAAACGACUGCUAAUACCUAAUAAGUUCCAAGAGCCGCAUGGCCCAUGGAAGAAAAGGUGGCCUCUACCUGUAAGCUAUCGCCUGAAGAGGGGUUUGCGU
rnacentral:rRNA from 1 species